UAGUAAAUAAAAAGAAAAAUGGACUUUAUUUACAAAAGUAUACUUAGAGCGAAAAAAUAGAAAUACACAACGUACAAGCUUUACGUACACUAAUCAAACUUGAGCAAACUUAAAUACAAACCACAAUUGCUAAUAUAUGCUAAUACAUGACUAAUCACACAAUAAACAUACUUAUUUACAAAAAACUCACAUGGAUUAGCAGAGCUAAGACAGAGCUUGUGGGAUAUUUAUGGAGGAAA
rnacentral:lncRNA from 1 species